rnacentral:rRNA from 1 species
GACGAACGCUGGCGGCGUGCUUAACACAUGCAAGUCGAACGGAAAGGCCUCUUUCGGGGGGUACUCGAGUGGCGAACGGGUGAGUAACACGUGAGUAACCUGCCCUUGACUUUGGGAUAACUUCAGGAAACUGGGGCUAAUACCGGAUAGGAGCUCCUGCUGCAUGGUGGGGGUUGGAAAGUUUCGGCGGUUGGGGAUGGACUCGCGGCUUAUCAGCUUGUUGGUGGGGUAGUGGCUUACCAAGGCUUUGACGGGUAGCCGGCCUGAGAGGGUGACCGGCCACAUUGGGACUGAGAUACGGCCCAGACGCCUACGGGAGGCAGAAGUGGGGAAGAUUGAACAAUGGGUGGAAGCCUGAUGCAGCAACGCCGUGUGCGGGAUGACGGACUUCGGGUUGGAAACCGCUUUCGCUCAUGACGAAGCUUUGUGUGACGGUAGUGGGUAAAGAAGCACCGGCUAACUACGUG